GGUAGGUAGGAUUUCGGUAGCGAAUUGAGGAUAGUAUCCUUGCCUAACUAUUCAUGCAACGAAAAACCAAAUUUGUUAAGAUAUUCAAUCUGCUUAAUCAUGUACAAUACAUGAUCGAUGACUGAAGCUCCUUCUCACAUUCGGAUAUUGAACACUGUGCAGGAGGUUUUAUGUCUCUCUGCAUCCUCAGGGGUGCCGAAGGACUCAUUCAACAUUUGAAUGUCUC
rnacentral:lncRNA from 1 species